rnacentral:lncRNA from 13 species
UCCAGGUGGCUGGCCCGGCUCUGGAACAUAGUGGAGGUCCUUCACAUGGAGUAGGCUAUCGUCGCCUGGCUCUGGAACAGAGUGGUGGUCCUUCACGUGGAGUAGGCCAUCGUCUCCCGGCUCUGGAACAUAGUGGAGGUCCUUCACUUGGAGUAGGCCAUCGUCUCCUGACACUGGGCAUCACCUAGCAAACACCGCCUGAGCUCGGGCCAGUGAGCAGUGGUCAAGGCUGCUCUCAGUAUCCUGGUCAACAAAGCCGUCCUGCAAGGAUGCCCUCUGCCACGGCACGAGAUUAACAGGCACCUGUUGAAGUUCCGAGGUGGGACCUUCCCUCUCUCAACCAUUGGCUCCUGUAAAGGGGGCGGCGGCAGGAAGGGGUAGGACAGUAGCAUGUGGAGAUGAGCCAAUUACCAGCCCACGAAAGAAUGGGAAACCCCGCCUCCAACUGGAGCUGUGGAGAUUCUCUCAGAGAAGGGUCAUUGUCCAGCACUGAUGUCCUCUUCAUCACCAACGGCAAUACUCCGAGUGUUGUAGAUGGGGACCAUGUGAGUCUGUCUCUGUGUUAUUACAACAAGACUGAUCUGAUCAGGGAGUUACAGACCAUGUGCUCCAGGAAGUCAGACAUNNNNNNNNNNGUGUGUGUGUGUGUGUGUGUGUGUGUGUGUGUCUGUCUGUUUGUCUUCAUAUGUCUAUGUGUCUGCAAAUGA